UUGAAACGAAUGUACUGGUUUAGCUACCCUUAUGAUCAAAACAAAACAAACUCGGUCGCCUAAAUACUUACAUUAAGACUCCAUUCCGAGACUCCACUCCAAGGCCCCACUCCAAGACUCCACUCCAUGUUUUACAGCAUGCCAGACUGUCUAACCUUUCC